rnacentral:rRNA from 1 species
UACGUAGGGACCAAGCGUUGUUCGGAUUUACUGGGCGUAAAGGGCGCGUAGGCGGCAUGUUAAGUCAGCUGUGAAAUCUCCGAGCUUAACUCGGAACUGUCAGCUGAUACUGAUGUGCUAGAGUGCAGAAGGGGCAAUCGGAAUUCUUGGUGUAGCGGUGAAAUGCGUAGAGAUCAGGAAGAACACCGGUGGCGAAAGCGCUCUGCUAGGCCGCAACUGACACUGAGGGACGAAAGCUAGGGGAGCGAAUGGG